UGCAUCUAUUUGGCAAAUCUGGAGUAGUUACUGUCUGCUGCUAAGAUUUCCACUAUAGACGUAAGGAAAAAGUGCUUUUAUGAUUUUGUCUGUCUCACCGUGGCAGCCAAGAUUGAAAGGGGAAUACAAGA
rnacentral:snoRNA from 1 species